UACGUAGGGGGCAAGCGUUGUCCGGAUUUAUUGGGCGUAAAGAGCUCGUAGGCGGCUUGGCAAGUCGGGUGUGAAACCUCCAGGCUCAACCUGGAGUCGCCAUUCGAUACUGCUAUGGCUUGAGUUUGGUAGGGGACCACGGAAUUCCUGGUGUAGCGGUGAAAUGCGCAGAUAUCAGGAGGAACACCGGUGGCGAAGGCGGGUCUCUGGGCCGAUAUUGACGCUGAGGAGCGAAAGCGUGGGGAGCGAACAGG
rnacentral:rRNA from 1 species